rnacentral:rRNA from 1 species
AUAACGUUCGGAAACGGACGCUAAUACCGCAUACGUCCUACGGGAGAAAGCAGGGGACCUUCGGGCCUUGCGCUAUCAGAUGAGCCUAGGUCGGAUUAGCUAGUUGGUGGGGUAAUGGCUCACCAAGGCGACGAUCCGUAACUGGUCUGAGAGGAUGAUCAGUCACACUGGAACUGAGACACGGUCCAGACUCCUACGGGAGGCAGCAGUGGGGAAUAUUGGACAAUGGGCGAAAGCCUGAUCCAGCCAUGCCGCGUGUGUGAAGAAGGUCUUCGGAUUGUAAAGCACUUUAAGUUGGGAGGAAGGGCAGUAAAUUAAUACUUUGCUGUUUUGACGUUACCGACAGAAUAAGCACCGGCUAACUCUGUGCCAGCAGCCGCGGUAAUACGAAUCACUAGUGAAUUCGCGGCCGCCUGCAGGUCGACCAUAUGG